rnacentral:lncRNA from 1 species
AAAAAAGAAAAUAAUUUCACAAUUUCAUAAAGCUUUCCUACCCUUUCUCUCAUUUAAUUUUCUUGUCUCCACCAUUCAUUCAUAAUACCCAACAGUUUUAACUCACUUAUCUAUCAUAGCAAAUAAACUCUUUAUAGUUUGCACUACUUCUUUCUCAUCAAUAAGAAAUUCACACUGCACGCCAGUAAUCAUCUACAAUAGUCAAAAAAUAUGAUGCACCACAAGACGAAAUUUUUCGAUAAGGUUCCUACAAAUCAUAAUAAAUCAAUUCAAAAAUUCUAGAAACUCUAUUAUUAUUCAAAGAAAACGUGUCUCUUGUUUGUUUAGUCCGAUGACGUACAUCGCAACUUCUAUUCAAAACUUCACUAUUUUUGUUAAACUAUAUAACAAGAAUUAAAAGACAAGAGGGGUUGCUCUGAUGGUAAGCAACCCCCACUUCCAACCGAGAGGUUGUGAGUUCGAGUCUCUCCAAGAGCAAUGUGGGAAAUUCUUGGAGGAAAGGAUGCCGGAGGUCUAUGUCGGGGGUUGUUGUUGUUGUUGUUAUAUAACAUGAAUUAAUUUGGCACUUGUAGAGAGGGAUGACCCAAACACUUGUGCCAAAGAUCCAGCGAGCCCACGCCACCAACCUUUAGAGCACAUACCCUCUGUUUGUUUGACAAAUAAUAGAGUCCGUCUUUUCGCUCACCCACUCCAUCCAGCAUCUUCGAGAUGUGUCCCUGUAUAAUACGUAAAAGUUUACUGAAAAGGACCAAACAGUAAUCGAUUAAUUAAGAUAUAGAAGUCAAAUUGCAUAAUAAGUUGGCCACACAAAGAAAAAAAUUUUCGACUAAAUUUCCAGUUUCGUUGAACCUCAUCCACUAGUAAAGAUUCGGCUAAAACCUGUGAAGAAAAACAACUUCCCAAAUUUCGGAAAUUGCUUUCUUAGA